GGAGAGAUGGCCGAGUGGUUUAAGGCGGCGGCCUCGAAAGCCGUUGUGCCGGGUAACCGGCACCGUGGGUUCGAAUCCCACUCUCUCCGCCA
rnacentral:tRNA from 1 species